rnacentral:rRNA from 1 species
AUUGAACGCUGGCGGCAGGCCUAACACAUGCAAGUCGAGCGGAGCGGCGGACGGGUGAGUAAUGCCUAGGAAUCUGCCUGGUAGUGGGGGAUAACGUCCGGAAACGGGCGCUAAUACCGCAUACUAUCAGAUGAGCCUAGGUCGGAUUAGCUAGUUGGUGGGGUAAAGGCCUACCAAGGCGACGAUCCGUAACUGGUCUGAGAGGAUGAUCAGUCAUACUGUAACGGAGAAACUGGCAAGACCCCUACGGGAGGCAGCAGUGGGGAAUAUUGGACAAUGGGCGAAAGCCUGAUCCAGCCAUGCCGCGUGUAUGAAGAAGGCCUUCGGGUUGUAAAGUACUUUCAGCGGGGAGGCGUUACCCGCAGAAGAAGCACCGGCUAACUCCGUGCCAGCAGCCGCGGUAAUAC